UUGACGGGGCCGCACAAGCGUGGAGUAUGUGGUUUAAUUCGAUGCAACGCGAAGAACCUUACCUGGUCUUGACAUCCCGGAGACCCUUAGGAAACUAGGGGGUGCUUCCAUCUGGAAGAAUCUGGAGACAGGUGCUGCAUGGCUGUCGUCAGCUCGUGUCGUGAGAUGUUGGGUUAAGUCCCGCAACGAGCGCAACCCUUGCCUUUAGUUGCCAGCAGUUCGGCUGGGCACUCUAAAGGGACUGCCGGUGUUAAACCGGAGGAAGGUGGGGAUGACGUCAAGUCCUCAUGGCCUUUAUGACCAGGGCUACACACGUACUACAAUGGCCGAUACAAAGGGCAGCGACACUGCGAGGUGAAGCCAAUCCCGUAAAAUCGGUCUCAGUCCGGAUUGGAGUCUGCAACUCGACUCCAUGAAGUUGGAAUCGCUAGUAAUCGUGGAUCAGCAUGCCACGGUGAAUACGUUCCCGGGCCUU
rnacentral:rRNA from 1 species